rnacentral:lncRNA from 1 species
UGUCUAGUGGGCCUGAUUAUUAGCCAACUCUCUGAAUCCCUUUUUGUGUCUAGGGAAUUCUUGCCCUGUGUAUUUCGGUAAGAGGUCAGAGCCCACUUCCCAUUUUAAAACUGUAAAUUGAAACAUACUUUCUUUCUCAGUCUCCUUAGAAGUAAAUGUUUAGAUACAUGCCUUAAGCAUUGCUAAUCAAAUGAACCUGCUUGGUGUCCGAAGUGUAGGGUCUACUGUUCAGUGGUAACAGCAUCCUCACAAGACUAGUUUUGUGGUUUGGUUUGAAGCUUUGUUCCUGGCUACAUUGCCCUCAAGCUUUCUAGAAUUUCUAUGAGCUAGUCAAAAGCUAGAAUUUCUAUGAGCUAGACUUUCUUAAAUUGGACAGAGCCACUUUUGGCUGCUUGUCACAUAAGCAUGUGAAGAAGAGGGCCAAGGAUAAGGCUAAGUGAGGGAAAGUAUUUAUUUCUUGUGCUUGGAGAAAAGUAUUUUAUAAUUCUCUUCAGUUGCCUAUGAACAAAAAAGCACAGAGUUCUGAUUGCCUUUGGCAGUCAUCUUGCAAUUGCAAGGGAAUCAUUUCUGAAUGAAGCUAAUAUGAGGACAGUAGAGUGAAGAAUGAUAAAGCAUUCAGACUUCUGCAGCUCACUUUCCUUUAGGAUUUAUUGGGAGAAAAGGUCUUGUCCUGUUUGGAGUCAUUCCCACUGACGCUACUCCCUUGAGUCUUUCCCAGCCCCACUUUGAGCCUGUUUACCUUGGUGCUGUUCCUUGCUGAGUAUUCCUGGAUAAAGUCACUCCACAGGAUGCUAUGCUCACUUCUCAGCAGAG